GAUGAACGCUGGCGGCGUGCCUAAUACAUGCAAGUCGAGCGAACAGACGAGGAGCUUGCUCCUCUGACGUUAGCGGCGGACGGGUGAGUAACACGUGGAUAACCUACCUAUAAGACUGGGAUAACUUCGGGAAACCGGAGCUAAUACCGGAUAAUAUAUUGAACCGCAUGGUUCAAUAGUGAAAGACGGUUUUGCUGUCACUUAUAGAUGGAUCCGCGCCGCAUUAGCUAGUUGGGAAGGUAACGGCUUACCAAGGCAACGAUGCGUAGCCGACCUGAGAGGGUGAUAGGCCACACUGGAACUGAGACACGGUCCAGACUCCUAAGGGAGGCAGCAGUAGGGAAUCUUCCGCAGUGGGCGAAAGCUUGACGGAGCAACGCCGCGUGAGUGAUGAAGGUCUUCGGAUCGUAAAACUCUGUUAUUAGGGAAGAACAAAUGUGUAAGUAACUAUGCACGUCUUGACGGUACCUAAUCAGAAAGCCACGGCUAACUACGUG
rnacentral:rRNA from 1 species